rnacentral:lncRNA from 1 species
CUCUGAUACCAUAUAGAGAAUGAGAAUAAUUUAUAUUUUUGUAUAUUGAACUUACAAUCAUGCAGUCUCUUAUAUAGAAAUUGAGACUAACUACAAUCCUAUAAUUAAGGAACAUUCAAAUUCAAAGUAAGCUGCUGGUAGAGGAUUAAGGAAUUGAUAAGUUCUCUGGAUUUGUCUCUGAUAUAUCCUCAUCUGAAAUAUCUGCCGAGUUGUUGGAUGUAACAGAUUUAUCAACCUGAUCUUCCACAAGUGGAAUAUAUAUCUUCAUGGCGU